GUGAAUCAUCAAAUCUUUGAACGCAAAUUGCACUCUCCGGUUUUCCGGGAGAGUAUGCCUGUUUGAGGGUCUGUUUAAAAAAUAAUCGAGGCUGCUGCUGUGGUGGCUCUUCGGAAUUGGGUCAUCUUUCACCUUUCGGUUGUAAGCGACCUAAAAUUUUUUUUACGAUUUUAACAAACUGUCUUAGAAAUUCCUUUUAGUUUCA
rnacentral:misc_RNA from 1 species